CUCUCGCUCACUGCCAAGGAGAGGGGUGGGUGUGCUUCCAAGCCAUGCACCUUCAUCAGCUGCGGGCAGCUCUCUUGCCACAAUUGGCACCCGAAGAGGGACACGAAAGGCAUACCAGUCUGGAGUGGGCUGAGAGAAGCACCGGGCUGGAGAGAAGCACCGGGCAGAGAGGCCCUAGCGAAAGAGAGAGUUGAAAGAAGCUUUUAUCGAAAAAGGGCUGAAAGAAUUCCUAUAGAGAGAGAGCUGGAAGAGACCCUAUCCUGCUGAAAGAAGUGCAAGGCUGAGAGAAGUCUUACAGUCCCCAGCUGCUCCGAUUGCCUUUUGCUGGACGAAGGAAAAUGAGAGCCUGCUUUUGCCUCGGUAUGACAAGGUGUCUCUGAAUCAUUCGCGCAUUUCGUUGAUCGCAUGUGGGUCACCCUGCGUGAUAGUGACUUGCCUGAAGAGGCGAAGCACCAGCUGUUCCGAGUUAUGGUACACGACAAUGCUAAUCUGAGCACCAGAGCCAUUCUCGCUACGUUACCACAGGGUGCCACUGUCGAGGCUAUGCUGUAGCGGUCUGAGGGCUGAGCAGGGUCGCCAGGCUACCCAGAUAGCAGCCGCAGUACAGCAAGUGUUAGGUCACCGGGAUGCCAGAAAAGGAAAAGGUGCUGGCGUAGGUGACCAAAAAUGCUAUAAUUGUGGAAUGAUUGAGUAUCUGCAUCGGCAGUGCCAGGAAAAGGUAUGGUGUGACACUUGCCAGCAGGAUUCACAUGCCACAACAACUUGUAGAAGAGGGGGUUCGGGAAACGGCUGGCGCAGCACGGAGCACCGGCGUGUGACAAAACAAGUACCGGACCACAACCCAGCGGCACUGGCUACCUCAACCGGCAGCAGCCAGCCACUCGAGGGAGUCUCGGAGUGGAUGUGGCAACAGCAGUAGACAUUCAUCUGCAAGACACAACGGUCCAAAAAAUCCGUUUGGUGGCAGAGGGACCAUUGUCUUUGAAGAAACCCGUUCAUGCUAUCUUAAUGGGGCGAUCCUCCUUGGGCCAAUCGGGAGUGUUCUUAGUUUCCAGGGUAAUAGACUGAUUGUUGGGGACCGAUUUAUGCACUACUGUAUACCUUAACUCCACCUGUGUUUAUUUCAGCAGGUACAUGUAUAGCUCAAUUUAUUCCCAUACCAGCUGGGAGUCUGAAUAGCUCAGGGGCGGAUCAGAAAGGGGGAUUUGGCUCCACAGGACCCAUAGCCUGCUUGACUAUUCAACUCGGAGAUCGACCAAUGAUGCGGGUAAAGUUGCAAUGUAAUCAGAUUAGCAUCACUGUGACAGCUUUGCUAGACUCUGGGGCAGAUGUCUCCCUGGUCUCUUCUGACAUCUGACCGCACCAGUGGUCUACUACUACUGUUAAUAAUAUCAGUGGGGUGGGUGGGUCUUCAUCCACUCAUAAGUCAACAACGCCCAUUUGUAGUAUUGGUGGGCUCUGAGAAUGCUGUCACCGUAAUGUUACAUGUAGCCAGACUGCCUGGGGGCCUGCAGAUGUUGCUUGGCCGGGAUGUGCUAAGCCAGCAUGGGGUGCGCCUAACUAAUCAACCUUUUCUCUAGUGGCCACUGUGGCACCUCCACCCAUUGCUCUGAAAUGGAAAUCUGAUGACCCCAUUUGAAUGGAACAGUGGCCACCGAAAAAGGAGCGCCUAGAAAUCACCAAAACAUUAGUACAAGAGCAAUUGACUGCGAGUCAUAUUAGACCCUCCACUAGUCCUUGGAAUACACCCAUAUUUGUUAUCCCAAAAAAGUCCGGUAAAUGGUGACUGCUGCAUGACCUACGGAAAAUUAAUGAGCAAAUGGAGGCAAUGGGGGCACUCCAGCCUGGCCUGCCCUCGCCAGUUAUGUUACCUGCAGAUUGGGCAGUUAUCGUUAUUGACCUAAAAGAUUGCUUUUUUACUAUCCCUAUUGCUGAUCAAGAUUGUAAACGCUUCGCCUUCUCAGUGCCAUCUAUUAAUAAGGCGGAACCAGCCGACCGAUAUGAAUGGGUAGUCUUGCCCCAAGGUAUGAAAAAUUGCACUACCCUUUGCCAGCUGUUUGUGGCGGCGGCGCUAAGGCCCCUCCGAAAAAGGCACCCAAAAUGAUUAUCUAUAAUUAUAUAGAUGGCAUUCUCUUUUGUCAGGAAUCCUCAUUCCUGGAAGAUUGGCUGACCGAGGUAACUACCCACCUCAGUCGGUUUGGUGUAAAGGUGGCUCCUGAGAAGGUGCAGCGUACUACCCUGAUUUUAUACCUAGGCUGGAAGUUGUCAGACUCUGUAGUGUCUCCUCAGUGGUUAGAGUUCAGGGUGGAUGUCAAGAAUUUACAUGACUUGCAAACCCUUUUGGGGAAUAUUCAGUGGAUACGUCCACAAGUGGGCAUUCCCAACAGCCUACUAGCCCCAUUGACAUCUCUUCUCCGGGGUCGACAGCCCAAAGAGGAGAUUCAGCUGACAGCCGAAGCCCAACGGGCUCUGGGAGAAAUCACAGAAAGAAUUUGACAAGCUGUUAGUGCUUGCAUGCUUGCAAAUGUACCAAUCUCAUUACUAAUCUUUGCCCAAGAACAAUAUGCCUUUGCUGUGCUCUGUCAAUGGCAAAAGAAAUUUGGGGAGGAUGGGGGGGGGCGGACAGCCAGUGUACAUGACUGUACCAAUGCCACUGACAGUGACAGACAGGAAUGCACAGUGUUAUCCUCCUGCUUUCUCCUUCCCGUGCUCCUGCUCUCCCACAGCUUCUUUCUUUUUGCUUGAAUGGCUCUUUCCCUCGAUUCAGCUGCACACGUAGUUAUGCACAAGAACUGAGAUGAUAGCUCAGCUUAUCGUUACAGGACGAGACUGUUGUAUUUCUAUUACGGGCUCAGAUCCAGCUGACAUUAGUGUUCCUUUUAUGGUAGCUGGGUUGGAGUGGGCGCUACGCCACUCAGAUCCUCUGAUCGUGGCCCUGGAAGGGUAUGCGGGGGUGCUUCAUAGUGUACGACCAGAGGGGCGGGUAUCGCAGUGGUUAGCAAAAACUGAAUGGGUGCCUAGGCCUUACGUUAGCCUACAGCCUGUCGAGGGAUGAACUGUGUAUACCGAUGCUGGGAAGCGGAGUCAGACAGCAGUUUGUGUGUGGUGGGAGAAUGAUCAGUGGCAGCAGCAUAAGAUAAUGGGAUGUCUCGCUCCAAUUUAUAGGAGAGAGAGGAGGUUCUUUGAUAUAUGUAUACCUGGUGUGAGAUUAAGAAACAACGGUUCAAAUGUUGGUCCGACCAGUUUAUUACAAAUCCUAGUUAUUCAGGGAGAUGGGGAAGGGGAGAAGGGCGAUAGAAAAGAUAGGAAAUAGAAGCAAGGAGUCCUUAUAGGAAGGAAGAGGGAGAUAGUCACCACCAUGGUCCAAGGUGGUUCGUAGUUCAGUCAUUGAUCUUCAGUAGUGGUGGGUCGUCAGGUGUUGUUCCAUUGAUGACAUGGUGACAACGACGAUUACGAUGGCAGUACAAACUUAUAAAUAAGUCCAAAGUGGUCGAGUCAGCUCUCUUUGGAGUGACAGCUCGAAUCCGAAGUGGUUGAGUCAGCUCUCCUUGGAGUGGCAGCUACUGGCUCUGGGAUCUCAGCAGAAAUUCCUUUGUUAUCAUCUUCCAGGCCUUGCCAGCAGAUAAGAGGAAGCAGGGAUGCCCAUCUGCAUCCUGUUUUUCACAGGGCAUGAUGGUAUCGUUCCCCAAUUUUUUCCCACACCAAGCUGGGGCUAUUAGGCCAGAUCUUCCGCCAGUAACCACUCCUGAGCACUGUCUUCUGGAGGCAAGUAGCUCUGGAGGAAGGUGCUUUCAAAUGUCAAAGUGAUGUUGAUUGUCACACGGUAGCACCCAUCAUUUGCCACCUCCAUAAAUCAGUUAGAGUCUUAUCACAAGAAAUACCUCAGGAAGCAAGCUUUGAGACAGAAGACAAAGAAGGGUUCUCACACCACCCUGUGGCUCAAAGGUUGCUUGAAACUGAAGCAUAGUUGACCUUUCACGAUGGUGAGGAGAAGAAAAGUAGUAAGAAAGAGGAAAAAAAAGGAAAGGGAAAAACAAACAAACAAACAUGAGGGAAAGAGGCGGGGGGGGGAAGGCAAAGUUAAUUAUUAUACCAUUACUACAUAAGAUUUCUUGGGCUUGGUUACAACUGUUGCCCUGAUCUGUUGGAUUUGUCCAUCAGUAGAAGUGGUUACAAAGUACAUGGAGGAUACAACACGUUGUAUAAGUUGAAUAAAACAUGGAAUGGUACAAGGUACAAACAUAAGAGUUGCAACAGCACACAAUAGAUAAAAUAGGAUACGUUUGACCCAUGGGGCACCUGGGAGCCAGGAAAAGAAGUCGAAGUCUAGGCCUUUCCAGGUUUGGACAGGAACAUGGGCUAUUUUCCGUAUCCCGUGGGCAAUUUGUUUAACAACUUUACCAUUAUCAUUGAAUUUUUAGACAAAAAUUAGAGUCAUUCAAUUUGCCAAAGACACUAUCCGGUGACUCUUCAGGAGUGGUGACACAAAUGUUACAUAGCAAAUAAAAGGUAGAAAGUGAAAAGAGACAACCAUACAUUUGACAAUAACCAUACAUUUAAAUAAAUAAACAAGUAAAACAAA